UACGUAGGUGGCAAGCGUUAUCCGGAAUUAUUGGGCGUAAAGAGCGCGCAGGUGGUUGAUUAAGUCUGAUGUGAAAGCCCACGGCUUAACCGUGGAGGGUCAUUGGAAACUGGUCGACUUGAGUGCAGAAGAGUGAAGUGGAAUUCCAUGUGUAGCGGUGAAAUGCGUAGAUAUUAGGAGGAACACCAGUUGCGAAGGCGGCUCUCUGGACUGUAACUGACACUGAGGCACGAAAGCGUGGGGAGCAAACAGGAUUAGA
rnacentral:rRNA from 1 species